UACGUAGGGUCCAAGCGUUAUCCGGAAUCACUGGGCGUAAAGCGUGCGUAGGUGGUUUUGUUAAGUGUAUUGCGAAAUCCUGUGGCUCAACCAUAUGGACUGUAAUACAUACUGGCAAACUAGAGGACAUGAGAGGCAAGUGGAAUUACCGGUGUAGCAGUGAAAUGCGUAGAGAUCGGUAGGAACACCAAUGGCGAAGGCAGCUUGCUGGCAUGUAUCUGACGCUAAGGCACGAAAGCGUGGGGAGCGAACGGG
rnacentral:rRNA from 1 species